CCACCGCAACAACAACAAAUUACUACAGCCCAUGGCUAUAUGUGUGUGCGUGUGUGUGUGUGUGAACGUAUUUGUGUUAAAUAAUGUUUAAACAUUUCUGAUUUCGCACACAAAACAAUUUUGAGUUGUAUUCACCAGCAGAGAGAAACAAUUAAAGAAAAGGAAGAAGAGCCAACAAUUAUUAUUAAAAUCGCCUCAAAUACAAGCAAUAAUAAAUAAUAUAUUAAAGAAAAACGCGAAAGUAAAAAGUUCAACAUUUAGUAAAUGAAUACAAAUUAUUAAUACACUUGCAUUAAUGAAAUCGUAGCCAUUAGCUUUAACAAACGCGUAAACAUUUUGAACAGAACUUAGCAAGCCUAACAAGUACGCCUUCCAAUAGUUAUUAUAUAUACACGCAUUAUAUACAUAUGCAUAUACAUAGCCAUAGCACUUACAACAUACAUACAUAUAUAUACAAGAACCGGUCAAAGGGAAUUAAAAGCCCAAACGGGAAACGAAAGAACGAUCGAGAAUCGUGGAAAAAGUGCGUUAUAUUCUAACGGUGCAAUCAAAUCUUAAUGUAGCCAAGCGAUAUUACAGCUACGCCAACAUAUAUACCAUAUAAAUAUAUAUAUAUAUAUAUAUUUCUUACAUCCAUCAAAAAAGCCAACAAUUUUUACAAUCCGCAAAGUUAAGCAGCUUCAGAAUCAACAAACGCAGUUACUUUAAGAGAAUUACUUUAUCGGUUAAUAGACAAGCAUAUAUAUUGAAUGAUAAGCGAAUAGCAAAGGAAAAAUUAAAAAAAAAAAAAGAAAACAAAAAAGUCAAGUGCAAAU